UAGCAUUCAACCCAUUAUUUGCAUCAACUAGAAAAUCAUAUUUUUCUUCGACAUGAAGGCGACCUAGUCGCUUCGGUAAGCACAACCCACCUGUUAGUGCAUUCCGAUUGCUUGUCGACACUUACAAUCGGCCUCCCGCGGCAUCCGGUGCACGUCGGAACUUGCAAUUGCGCACCAACCGCGCGUCGCUUCGUAGCCUUGGGCAAAAAGGGUCUUCGUUUUGUUGUUACGGUGCCUCAAAUCCAAUUCCAUGAUUUUACGACGUCGCCUCGGCCCUCCAGGCGGAAACGAAGCCUAAACGUCCGUUUCUUUAAUAACUUCGCACCGGCUCGACGAAUCGCCGAACCGACUUCGCCAACGCGUUCGUUUACCUAUCAAUUAGGUUUAUGGAGGGUCAAACGAGAUCAAACCCUACAAGUAGCAACAUUAGCAUUUUAGAGCCCUAGGUUACAACUAGGCAAGAAAUCACUAAAUUGAUCGGUGAUUUAGGCAACAUUCAUCUAUUUAGCAUCAUAGAAUUCCAAUAAAUCCAUUUUUAGAGCAUGUAAAGCUAACCCUAAAGAUCUACCAUGAGAGGGCUCAAGAAGCUUACCUCAAAACUAGCUCCAAACCAUGGAGAAGAUGAAGAAGAUGAAGACGAUCUAUCUCCAAGCUUCAAUCUCCACCAAUUCCCUUAAUUUUGGGAGAGAUUUAGAGAGAGAAAGGGUGGUUUUCCCUCUCCCUUUUCCAUGCGUGUGUGUUGUGUGUGUGUGGCGCAUGUGUGUGUGGCUGCACGGUUGAGGGAGAAGAAGAGCAAUGCUCUUUUACAACUUAGCCCCUCAACUAUACACUAUUCACUCCAUGUAGCUCGAAAUCUGAUAUCUUUCGUCGGAGCUCCCUGAAUAUCCGUUUGAGCUCAAAUUUGAUAGGCAAUCUCGGUUUAACGUACUGACUAAGGAUAUAUCUUAAGUUUUCAGUUUCGACCCCGUUUGGUCACCGAAAACUGUGCCGAACUGUAAUCUUAAUCAGAUAACUAUCGGAUUUUAUUUCUCACUCUACGGGUGUCAGAAAAAUAUGAAACCUUAAAUCUAGCCUCAUAAAAAUAUUUCUGACAUAUCCUCUAAUUUUCAUAAUUUUCUGAAACUGUGCAUUUUCUGCUAAUUUAUCUGCCCCGUUCUCACAGAAAAUUCUAAAUCUUCUGUUUUCGCUCCGAUUUCAGCACAGGUCAUUUUCAAUCUAUAUUUCACUUCUCUAAACCCAAUAAAAUAGUAUCUCAUACUAUUUUUAUUUAUUUUCAUCUUUAUACUUAAAAUCCGGUAUGUUACAUUCCACCGCAACCUCACCGGAACCAUUUAAAUGUACACCGUAACUUCGUAGUUUUAGAAGUCCGGUACCUUACAU
rnacentral:lncRNA from 1 species